AGGGAGCACCACAUUCAUUCUGGAAAUGGAGUGGCUGGAGAGAGCAAUAUCUCAGGUCUGGUUUCGUAGCUCCUUUCUACGUGCCUCAGUUUACCCUCUGCCCAAGGAGGCGAGACGUUCUCACGGACCAACUCCGCGCCAUCUAGGCCUGCAACAGCACGCCCUUUCCAAUUACAUUCCCUACGCGGCCACUGAAGCACAAUAUCUAGCCGUGCUGUCAUCCCGCCCGUGCGCCUCCUUUCUCGGUUCCACUCAGCCUGGGAAACGGAAGAUCAAUGCGCCAGGCGGCUGCAAAGUCGGUUUCCUAUUGGCCAGAGCCGCAAAAGCUGCGCCCGCCCGUCCCGCCUCUCCCAACCACCUAGGCGGGGCCUCCCCUCUGACCCAGGGCAGCCUUCGGCCCCGCGGCUCCGGGCUCUCCAGGAAGUCUUAAAGGGGCCCCGACCUGAUCCGGACACCGAGAAAAUUGCUCUCUCCGGACUUGCCUGGGGAGGAGUCCCAGGCACGGUUGGGGAUAAGGACCGCGUAACUGAAGGCGGGCCCCCAGUCUGUCGCGCUCUGUGAACCUGCCGAAGGUCCCUCCCACUAGUUUUGGGCGCAGUUUCUCGAUUCACCAUUAGGGGGAGGGGCCCCCAGGCCUUUUGACAGCGAAUAAUAAUAAUAGCUAACGUUGAUUCA